rnacentral:rRNA from 1 species
UACAGAGGGGGCAAGCGUUGUUCGGAAUUACUGGGCGUAAAGGGCGCGUAGGCGGCCCGCUAAGGCGAACGUGAAAUCCCCGAGCUCAACUCGGGAACUGCGUCCGAUACUGGCGGGCUUGAAUCCGGGAGAGGGAUGCGGAAUUCCAGGUGUAGCGGUGAAAUGCGUAGAUAUCUGGAGGAACACCGGUGGCGAAGGCGGCAUCCUGGACCGGCAUUGACGCUGAGGCGCGAAAGCGUGGGGAGCAAACAGG